GGGUCAGUAGUGCAACAGGUUAGAGCAUGCGCAUCCGGAUAGGGUGAGGCGCGGGUUCGAGCCCCGAUUGGCACG